GGCGGCUGUGUGCAUUGUACAUGGGGGCACUGGUCAGCUGGCUCAUUGCUAGUUGCUAUUUUCUAUGGAGUUGAGGAUCUUCCAAAUUCGCUGUGAGCAAAGGAAUAGUCAAAGGAAGAUAUAUUUGGAAAAUUCAACAAAUCCAUAAUCCAGUUAGCACAGAAAAAGUUAGGAUGAGGAUAAAGCAAAUACUUCAGAGCCUUGGCAGGUUCUCACAUGGCUCUUCCCUAUGCAUUCUGUCUGGGAGCACCUGACAGCAAGAGAGGAGCAAGAAUGCUGGUCUCUAGCCAUUCUCUCACCAUAACCAGCUUGAGGAGAUCAGCAGCAUUGCCUCUUUCUUCUUCCGUCCUGGAAUCCUUGACGGUCAUUUCCUGUAGCUCGUCUUCUUUCUUUAGAAUAUGGUUUAUAUAAUCCUAGACCAGGACAGUCAAACAAAUGGAUAAAGAUCAAGAACUUGGCAGAGAAAGAGACCAACAUAGUCAAUGUCAACUUGGAACAUCCCAAAAGGACUAAGGAGAUAAGUUGCUACCUCUCCGCAAUCAGUUAACUGGUCAAGCACUGGGAAAACUUUUUCUCAGGAGGUUAAUAGUGAUAAGCCAAGUCCCUCUCUGCCCUCAAGAAAAGCUUUAAAGCCACAGGAGAGAACUGCACAGGGAGGACCCUGCUUCUAACACUGUGAUGCAGCAUCCUUUUCACUGAGAUGGAUAAACUGAGGUGGAAGAUU